AUUGAACGCUGGCGGCAUGCCUUACACAUGCAAGUCGAACGGCAGCACGGGGGCAACCCUGGUGGCGAGUGGCGAACGGGUGAGUAACAUAUCGGAACAUACCCUAGAGUGGGGGAUAACGUAGCGAAAGUUACGCUAAUACCGCAUACGAUCUAAGGAUGAAAGUGGGGGAUCUUCGGACCUCAUGCUCAUGGAGUGGCCGAUAUCUGAUUAGCUAGUUGGUGAGGUAAAGGCUCACCAAGGCGACGAUCAGUAGCUGGUUUGAGAGAACGACCAGCCACACUGGAACUGAGACACGGUCCAGACUCCUACGGGAGGCAGCAGUGGGGAAUUUUGGGACAAUGGGGGCAACCCUGAUCCAGCAAUGCCGCGUGAGUGAAGAAGGCCUUGGUUGUAAACGUACUUUCUACCUGUGACGAUGAUGACGGUAGCAGGAGAAGAAGCACCGGCUAACUCCGUGCCAGCAGCCGCGGUAA
rnacentral:rRNA from 1 species